UACGGAGGAUGCAAGCGUUAUCCGGAAUGAUUGGGCGUAAAGCGUCCGCAGGUGGCAAUGUAAGUCUGCUGUUAAAGAGUCUAGCUCAACUAGAUACAAGCAGUGGAAACUACAUAGCUAGAGUACGUUCGGGGCAGAGGGAAUUCCUGGUGUAGCGGUAAAAUGCGUAGAGAUCAGGAAGAACACCGGUGGCGAAGGCGCUCUGCUUGGCCGUAACUGACACUGAGGGACGAAAGCUAGGGGAGCGAAUGGG
rnacentral:rRNA from 1 species